rnacentral:rRNA from 1 species
GCAUGGUAGGAGAGCGUUCUGUAAGCCUGUGAAGGUGUCUUGUAAAGGAUGCUGGAGGUAUCAGAAGUGCGAAUGCUGACAUGAGUAGCGAUAAAGGGGGUGAAAAGCCCCCUCGCCGUAAGCCCAAGGUUUCCUACGCAACGUUCAUCGGCGUAGGGUGAGUCGGCCCCUAAGGCGAGGCAGAGAUGCGUAGCUGAUGGGAAGCAGGUUAAUAUUCCUGCACCGUCGUAUGAUGCGAUGGGGGGACGGAUCGCGGAAGGUUGUCCGGGUGUUGGAAGUCCCGGUCCCUGUAUUGGAGAAGGCGCUUAGGCAAAUCCGGGCGCGGAAUUCAAGGAUAUGGGGCGAGCGGCCUAGUGCUGCGAAGCAAUUGGAAGUGGUUCCAAGAAAAGCCUCUAAGCUUCAGUCAUACGAGACCGUACCGCAAACCGACACAGGUGGGCGAGAUGAGUAUUCUAAGGCGCUUGAGAGAACUCGGGAGAAGGAACUCGGCAAAUUGGUACCGUAACUUCGGGAUAAGGUACGCCCUUGUAGCUUGACUGGCCUGCGCCAGGAGGGUGAAGGGGUUGCAAUAAAAUGGUGGCUGCGACUGUUUAAUAAAAACACAGCACUCUGCAAACACGAAAGUGGACGUAUAGGGUGUGACGCCUGCCCGGUGCCGGAAGAUUAAAUGAUGGGGUGCAAGCUCUUGAUUGAAGUCCCGGUAAACGGCGGCCGUAACUAUAACGGUCCUAAGGUAGCGAAAUUCCUUGUCGGGUAAGUUCCGACCUGCACGAAUGGCGUAACGAUGGCCACACUGUCUCCUCCCGAGACUCAGCGAAGUUGAAGUGUUUGUGAUGAUGCAAUCUCCCCGCGGCUAGACGGAAAGACCCCAUGAACCUUUACUGUAGCUUUGCAUUGGACUUUGAACCGAUCUGUGUAGGAUAGGUGGGAGGCUUUGAAGCGUGGACGCCAGUCUGCGUGGAGCCGACCUUGAAAUACCACCCUGGUUUGUUUGAGGUUCUAACCUUGGUCCGUGAAUCCGGAUCGGGGACAGUGCAUGGUAGGCAGUUUGACUGGGGCGGUCUCCUCCCAAAGUGUAACGGAGGAGUUCGAAGGUACGCUUGGUACGGUCGGACAUCGUACCUAAAGUGCAAUGGCAAAAGCGUGCUUAACUGCGAGACCGACAAGUCGAGCAGGUGCGAAAGCAGGACAUAGUGAUCCGGUGGUUCUGAAUGGAAGGGCCAUCGCUCAACGGAUAAAAGGUACUCUGGGGAUAACAGGCUGAUACCGCCCAAGAGUUCAUAUCGACGGCGGUGUUUGGCACCUCGAUGUCGGCUCAUCUCAUCCUGGGGCUGUAGCCGGUCCCAAGGGUAUGGCUGUUCGCCAUUUAAAGAGGUACGUGAGCUGGGUUUAAAACGUCGUGAGACAGUUUGGUCCCUAUCUGCCGUGGGCGUUGGAAUCUUGACGGGGGCUGCUCCUAGUACGAGAGGACCGGAGUGGACGUACCGCUGGUGUACCUGUUGUCUCGCCAGAGGCAUCGCAGGGUAGCUAUGUACGGAAGAGAUAACCGCUGAAAGCAUCUAAGCGGGAAACUCGCCUGAAGAUGAGGAUUCCCUGGAGCCUUGAGCUCCUUGAAGGGUCGUUCGAGACCAGGACGUUGAUAGGCUGGGUGUGGAAGCGCAGUAAUGCGUUAAGCUAACCAGUACUAAUUGCCCGUAAGGCUUGAUCCUAUAACCAGUGUGUUUC